GAGUUAGAAGAUGCAGGCACACCUGAUGAAAAAGUAAACAGUGCUGGAGAAGAGAAUUUGAACCUCAGAAUAAAAGAGCUGGAAAAGUCAGAGCAAAAACUGAAAGGUGUUCUAGAGGACUACGUGGAGUCAGAUUCCAUCCUAAGAAAUAGGAUGAAAGAGCUGGAGCUGUCAAACAAAACACUUCUUGUGAUGAUUGAUCAACUUUAUGUGAAGCUGGACCAGGUUGAAAAUGCCAAUGUGCGCAUUAAAGGGAAACUGCGAGAUAUUCAGGAGGACCUGAUCAGCUUGGUUGAAAACCAAAAGAAGUCAGAGAAGAAGCACAAGGAAAAAUUGCAUUGGCUUCAGGAGCAGCUGAAGACAAAAGAGGAUGAAAUAAAAAGCCAGUCAGAAUAUUUUGAGCACUACAAACAAAGGCAGAGACAACAGACAGCAGUACUGAGGAAAAGGGACUGUUACCUUCAGGGUGAGGUAUCUAGGCUGGAAAAGCAAGUCCUAGAUCUUAAUGCCCAUAUUGCUCUUUUGACAUCCAAGUUUGAAGAGGCAGUGGUGCAGCACCUCCAGCAGAAGCUGCAGUCAGUGUGCAGUGGGACUCAGGGCUGUAAAUAUUCUGGCAUGGAAGAAAUGGAAUGGAAGACUUGUAUUGAAAAUGUGGAACAUGAUGUGAAAAGCCACCUCAAGGCAUUUCAGCAAAACCUGAAGCUCUUGAGGGAAAAAGAAGAGGACACUAGAAGAGAACGGGCAGACCUGCUGACUGAACUGCAGUGCUCUCAGAACACUGAAGACUUUCUCAGAACAAAAGUGGAAGAAUCUCACCAUAGUGUCUAUAGUUUAAAAUUAUCUGAAAUCAAACUACAGGAAAAAGUGGAAGAGCUUUUAGAUGAAAACAGAACUUUAAAAGAUCAAGGUACUGUGAAGUUGAAAAAGAAGAAAGAAAAAGAACUUACAAGAUUGGUGGAUGGAGACAAUAGUCUUAACCUGGUAAGUCAACCAGUAAGUAAAAAUAAUGCAAAAUGUAGUUAAUUUUUAUCUUUGUAUCACCCUGGAUUCAGUAAGUAAAAAUAAUGCAAAAUGUAGUUAAUUUUUAUCUUUGUGUCACCCUGGAUUACAUCUGUCAUUAGAGGUACAAUCAAGAUGCAAUUAUGAGGCUUUAUCCUGCCUGAUUUGUACAUCUGUCAUUAGAGGUACAAUCAAGAUGCUUUAUCCUGCCUGAUUUUUUUUUUUCUUAUUAUUGUUUAUUCUUUAGUACUUCCAGUGUCUCUUUCACACUCAGUAGAAUCAGUGGUGGGAGCUUCAAUGCAUCAGAGCUUUUGUUAGGUGCACAAAGGGGACACUCAAAAAACCUUUUUUCCUUAACCUUUGAAGUGAUGUGCUCACAGCAAAAUGUCUCAGUUGGCACUAAAAGUAGAGUCCAGAAGAACUUCUGAGACCUGCGUUGUGGACACCAUUCAGUGGAGGAGGACAUAUGGUUGGAUGAGUUUUUGCAUGCUAUUCAUGCCCAAAUGCUGGAGCAAAAGUCCUCUUGACAAUAAAUCUUGUCUAUGAGAUUUUCUGGAUAAUGGUAAACAAGGGAAGAUGGAUGUGACAUUCAUGACCAGGAGCGAGCUGAGAUAGUCAAUGGUUUGUGGCUCUGUAGCAUUGUGAUAUGCCCUGAAUACACUGAAUAGGACUUGUUUGCUUCAACCACUUCACUCCAGCACUGCAUGGGAAAGCUUUGCUCAUGCUGGAAUAUGGCAUUCAGCUUCUGCCAAUUCAUUUUGCUGACAAGGAACAAUUCUUUUCACAGAGCGAAUUCAAACAAAGUUUUAUUCUUCAUGCACUGAGGUGCAGAGCAUUUUUAUUCAGAGGCUUUAUUUAAAGUAAGAUCAGCUAUGCCUCUCACUCAUUCAGAUUGUGACCUGAUAUCCCAAGAACUCUCUUGAUUUUAACUGCAGUUAACCAAGAGGUAAUGGGCAUGAACAAAACCCUUUCGUAUUGGAGGUCAAUCAGACUGUGACUACUUCCAGAACUGGGAGAAGCCAGAGAGGGUCUUGUAUCCAUAAAGCUAGAGGAAAUAUAGGCAAUUUUUUUUAAACUGGUAGUUGAAUGCACUUUUGCAAGCCUGAUAAUCUUAUCCCAUUAGUGUUUCUACAGUCCCAAAGCAGUGAGCUCCAGGAGGUUGUCUCUGUGAGAGAGUGGUGAGAUCAUCCUGCAGUAACCUGCAGCAUGUGGGUGAUCUCUGUGGAGAGCUCAGAAGCUGCACCUCAUCCCACAAGUCUCUGUAGCUACCCCAAGGUGCAGAAAGACCAACUGCUUACCUUGAGCCAUUGCUAUAGUUGCUUUAACUAGUGUGUUCACUUUCCCUUGGGAAUAAAGAAUAUGGUUUAAAAAUGUUUUGAGAUACUUCUUGAGGGACUUGCACUGAGUUGUAAACAGGUACAACAAACAAAUGCACUGUGAGGGUACUGCACAGCUAAAAUCAAGAGGAGUGAGGGUUUUCAGAGCCAGAGAAGUGGUGAAAAGUUACUAUUGGUUUGAUAAAAUUAAGAGCAGGAAAAAAAAGAGGUGGAGUCAUUUAAAGAUGUGAAAGCAAGAUACACAAAUGACUAAUUGCCUGAGACCAGUCCAAGAAGUCUUCAAGAAACAGGAGUCUUUCUAUGCCAUACUCAAAUAAAAGCCUAUUUUUUCCUCUACAUGAAGUUUUCUAACCAUUUAUUUUCUAAGUAUUAAUUUACAUUUCUGGUGUCAUAGGAGAUUAGAGUCUCAGUAACCCAGUCCUUGGUAAAAAUGAACAGGCUAUAAUUUGUGUUUACUCUGCUUCAGAGUGGAUAGUGUUAUUUAAAUGCUGUGUAUAGCAUCAGCAGCAUCAAAUAUUGUGUCUUCUGCAUUCCUGGUUAUCUUUUCCUCCUCUUUUGGUACUACAAGUACACUCACAUUUUUUUAGUAGAGAAUGACUUGAGAUAACAGGGGGAAAAAAAUUCAAUAUCCAUGAUAAAAGGAGGAGGGAGACAUCUGGUGUCUUUCUGUAAAACUGAAGAAGGUUUUUUCCCCUUAUCUGGAGUUUCACCAACAUGUAUUCAAAUAGAAUUUCUCAGUCUCAUCACCUCGAUCUUGUAGUAUUUAAGCCAAAAUAGUUACAAGAAAAAUCCUAUUUGAGCUCAUCAUACUCCAUCAACAGCUAUAAAAAUGAGAAAUUGUGUGCAAUACAAGAUCCAAUUAGACUGAGCACCAAGAGUUGAGCUGCAUCUCAUGAUGGAGUGUAAUUACAUAAAUCUUGUUGAAAAUUUGAUUCCAAACUCAGUAUCAACAUCCUGUAUGCAAUAUUCCAGUAUAUGCCUGAAUAAGAAAUGAUCAUACACCAAAAAAGCAGCUUGUUACAUGUGUCAGUGUAUCAAUUUCUAGAUGUGAGCAUUAGGGGGUCUGUUGAAGAUGAAGGAAAAGUGUGAAGAAACAAAGUGAUGCAUCUUUCUGCAGCUUUCGCAUGACAGCUGAGGUCUUCAUUUCUCAGUGUGAUGUUCUGCCACCUAAGCAUUGUAUCUUAUGUAUCAUUUUGUGUAACUUUCUUUUGACAAUACCCACAUAUAAAGCAACAGUUGAUAUCUGUAAGGAAAUAAAUUGAAAGGUGUGUUUCAAGGAAUUGGCAUUAGUUUCAAACAGGCUGCCCAGAGAGGUUAUGGAUUCCCGACCUCUGGGGAUGUUAUUUCCAAUGUGUGGUUGAGGCCUGAGCA
ensembl:lncRNA